GCCCGGAUGGCGGAACUGGCAGACGCACGGGACUCAAAAUCCCGCGAUCGCAAGGUCAUGAGAGUUCGAUCCUCUCUCCGGGCA
rnacentral:tRNA from 1 species